rnacentral:lncRNA from 1 species
GAGGUAUAGUUGGGGGUUUAGAGGGUAUAGUAGUAGGAGGAGAAGCACGGAGCUGCUGGAUGGAGAGAAACAGGAGUAGAACUGAUGAAGGACCUGAAGAUAGAAGACCCUUAUUUCCGCGUAACCAAUAGAAACCUCACGCUUUUACUGGAAACCAUUAAAAGAUUACCUGAAACAAUGGAGAAAUGGAAGUGAUGCCCUGAUGCAAGCCACCUCCUGAUGCUAGUGUUAAACUUCACAAACUUCUCAACGUUUUA